GCGGAUUCUGGGAGGCGAGAACCACUGCGAAGAAACACAAAGAUGAAAUAGCCACCUCCGAAGCCCGUGCGCGUUUUCGGAUCAUUUACAAUUGCAUUUAAGUACAUAUCAAGGAGGCUAAAAGUAAAGUGGACCCUUUGUUUUUUAACUACGGAGUGAAUGUACAUACUAAACUACCACUGUUACAGCCUAAUUAAACAGACAUCAAUUUGGAAAAAAAAAUUGUUCCAAACAAAUUUGUGGUCCACUCAGAGGCAUUUUCAAAUUUCAAUAACACUCUGAAGUGAAUUAUGAGAAAGUUUCAUCCAAGUAACAAUAUACAAUAAUUAUCACUAUAUAAUUUUUCUUUAGUUGCCCAGUACCUUGAGAAUCCCAAGGAAAACAUUCAUUUAGACUCAAAAUUAAAAUAUAAAUAGAUAUAAUAAAUAUGUUUUAAACUGCUUUUACAAACAUAACAUUUUAACUAUUUUUUUGAAAGCGUUAACCGAAGAGGCUAUCUUGGGAACAAUACACAACCGUCUGUGCUAUGUGGAUAUUAUGAUUAACAUCAUUUGAAUUUCUACAAAUCGCAAGGGGGACAUGUCCCUUUGAUGUAUUUUCAAACCUUUAUGCAAGUGACAAAUCCCUACAGAUAUUUUAAAGGCUAAUUAUAAGGAGAAGUAAUCUAUGACAAUAUAAUUUUCCAGUUGCUGAAAAUUACUAUCUAUUGGCCAUAAUGAAAGCACUCACUAGCCCUCCCCUUUGCUUGGGCUAGAAUGCUACGAAUCUGGUUUUCAACAAUAUGCACUUGGACCUCAGCCAUUGAUGGGUGGAAGAGAAAACACUUUGAGCCCCAGUUUUAGGAAGCAGACACCCCACUUGUAUGCAUCAGCCUCUCCCUUCAGCUGCAUCCCUAGAAACAGAUGGAUGUGGCCUCAACCGGCACCUCUGUCCCCUCCACCCUUGGAACAGAGAAUAGUCUUGUGUUUCCUACCGUGAAGGCAGAGUGUUCUCUCUCUUUCUAAGAAAGAUAAUAAUUGAAGACACAAUUUAAGAGGACUGUAUUGCUAAUACAAUGAAGAAAGGAAAUAUCUGUUGUCCGUAUUUGCGCAAUCCCAGAUAAAAGGAAAGAGGAAGAAUUUUUUUUGUUUGUUUAACUCUGGCCCCAUGAUAAUAAAAGUAUUUUUAAAAGGUGUUCUAAUGUUACUUUGUUCUAUAUGGAGCUGUAAAUAAAUGAAAUGUAAUAUUCUUAAAGAAUUGACUAUGAGGUUUGGGGCUGCCUCCAAUACGGACUCGAUAUUCACAGAAAAUACCCAGAGGGAAGAAACAAAACACAAUGCUACACAAGCACUCGCAUUUUUGUGGGGAGAUAAAUUGACAAUUUAUUGUGUGUGACUCCUGAUCAAUUAUUAAUCGUUAGUGUCAACAGCACGGUUAUAAUUACCUUGGGUUAUUUUAGGGAAUUUUUUUUUCAUUUAUCUGAUCUGGUAAUUAGUUAAUGCUCUUGAGUAAUAAAUUCAAAGAAGAGCUCAUAAGAGUCAAGACUCACCCCUACACCUCUCCUCCUUUUUGGUGACCUUUAAGGAAAAAUACAUUCACCCAGUCGUUCUCAGAAAUUCCCUCCUUGCCUCCAUUCUAACAGUGGGCUUUUUUUUUUCCUGCUAUAAAUAAUGAUUCCAGAGGAAAAGGGGAAAAUGACAAACAAAUAGAGCACAGCUGGAAUUAAUAAGGCUGAUCAAAGUUAGUGGGACUGAGACUGCUGGCAGCAGCCACAGGUCUGAGGCCCAUAAAGGUGCCAGGAGUUCUUGCCUCUUCCCUCUAAGAUCAAGAAAAAGGGCAAAUCGAACGGUUUAACCCUUGACACCUUCUUACUGGGGAAAGGUGGGCUUCGGGGAGAACUUUUGUUUUUAGUCCUUACUAAUAGCGGCGUUGCGGUCCGGCUCGGCCUGAGGCCGGGAAGGGCGCUGCGUGUUCGCCCAGAGCGAGUGCGGGUCCCGCGUGCACCCGGCUCUGCACCCAGCAAGGUGGGGCAGGACGCGGGUCCUCUUGGACCCUGAAAGGUUAGGAGGUGAGUGACCAGAUUAGGUGGGGUCAAGGCAGCAUCCUGGGGAGUCGGGGGGCUGCCGGCCGGGUGCUCAGUAAGCUCGGAGGGGGCGAGGAGGUCUCAGCUCCAAGACAGGCUCCUCAGUGCGUGCAAGGGGGACGGUGCACUGUCGCCGCUGUCGCCUUCCCAGUGCUGGAGACCCUGGGCCGAAGGUGCGGGAGCUGGAGGCGCUGGCCCGGCUGCCUGCCUGGUGCCCUGCCCGCGUUCUUCCCGGGGUUCCGGGCCACCUUCCACCCGGCCCACGUCCUUCCCCGCAGGCGCGUGCUCCCUGGGGAGUCUUGAGGGGCAGAAGCUGGCUCAAGCCCUUAAACGCCCACCCAGGGUUGGUUCCAGGCCUACGUGUUUUGCCUGAGCAGCUGCAAUCAUUUCUUCAGGGAACUGGGUUGCUCCCGGCUCUCCAGCCCCGGGACUGUCCGAUUUGGGAAGGGCUCCUUCACCUCUAGGCCCAUUUCUGCCCUGCAGUCUCCCCAAGCGCGGCGCUGCCGCUGAGUGUCUGCUUAGUUGGUCACACCGAGACCCUAAAAGGCAACGACCAAGGCCAGUCGGGAGAACCGAACAGUCGCAGGUCAGGGAACAGUCGCAGGAGAGGGGGUGAGCCGGCUCCUGACCUCAGCCCCGGUGUGACCGCUCGCCUUCUGCGGCCCCAAGGUGGUGGCUGGGAGCCCUGGGCCGAGGCGCACCUGGAAAAGGAGGCAGCGACGGCCAGGGAGGCCGCAGACCGAGACCCUGAAGUCAGCCUGAUGGGCAGGACCCCCGCCCCCGCACGCCACGACUGCCCCGGCGGCCCCAGACCCGGCCGCCUGUUCAUGAGUUUUCGACGCCGCUUUUGCGACCCGGUGCCCUGGAGGGGAAACCCAGUCGGGCCCUCCGAAGCCUCCUUAUAGGGGAAUGCAGCCAGGCUUCUGGGGAUGGGUAGCCACCAACCGACCCAGAAGAACCCGCGAGGACCCCCGAGCUCCCACUGGAGGCCCCGCUCCUGGCACCCCCAGCUCUGGUCCCGGGCUUCAGUCCCCUUCCUGGUCCUACCCUAUACCCCGCGCCUGAAGCCGCAGCGGGACCCAUCGGGUUCCUCCCGCCCUGACCCCGGCCUCCCCCGACCUCUUGCCUCCCAGUCCCCCUGCUCCCGUGGUGGUCGGGACUCCUCCGUGGCUGGCCCCGGGUGCUCGCCUCGCUCCCUGGCCCUCAGCCUCAGGCCCGCAGCUCUGGACUCUGGGAACCGCGCGCGCAGGGUGAACAAAGCAGCGCCGCAGAGCGCCGGGAAACCGAAAGCGCCCGGCCCGGGUUCAGGACGAUCGCGGGGUCCGGCGGCGACGGCGGCGGGGGUUCAGGGCCCCCGGGACCAGGGGAGGUGCCGAGCGCCCGGGUUCCUGCCACAGCCAGCCUUCCUCUCCUCCCCGGUCCCCCCGGUCUCUCCUGUUUCGGGUCCUGCCUGCACACCGUAUUUCUGCUGCGCUCGGCGGCAGAGCUCGAAAGCCCCAGGCCGGCCUGCCCAGCGCUUUUCCACCGCUCUGGCGGCAGCGUUCGGUCGGCGCGAGCCGUGUAGCCCCGAUCUGCGGCCCCAGCGCCCAGGCGGGCAGUGGACACCGACGGGACCCCAGGCCGUACCCCCGGCACCGCCGCCCCCAGGACCCGCACUGAGAACGACGUACGCGGCUGCCUUGCAGGCGACACCUCGGGGGACGCCCCUUGGGCGCACGGAGCGAGGGCCGGCGGGCUCGGGGUGGGUUGCCGCGGUGUCUGCACCGCUCCCCGCGGGCCCCUGGUCUGGGAAGUUUGUUCUCUUCUUCAGGGAGCUUAUGCGACAAGCCGGAUUUCACAGGCCCUACAAAGCGCGUUGAGUCCCCUCGAAGCUCUCGGCGCCACCAGAACCCGCUGGAGGGCUGCCUGGAGGUGGUGAUGGAUCCAAGGGGACACAGCGGAGUCAGCGGCCGGGAUGGAGGCGACGGAGAGCACGUCUGGUCGCCUGAGUCCCAUCCCACAGUAGGCCUACCCGGCAGCCUGGGGAGUCAGAAGAGGGUCUCCAGCCACAGCCAUUACCUCGCUCCUUCCUCUCCCCGGCCUCGGCGUCCAGGCCCAUUGGCUUCACCCUCCGCGACCUCUGGCGGCCCUGACUGGGGCUCUGGGAGCGGGUAGUUCAGGUGGAGGGUCUCUGGAGCCACACACCUGGCCUCCCGCAGGUGGGGAGACGGUCCCGGAGGCACAGGAGGAGGGAGGCCCAAGCGUGCGGCUGGGGGUGGUGAGGGUCAGAUGGGGAGGGGUGGGUGCUUUGUAACCUUUGGGGUCCUGGGCCCUGUGAUGAGCCCCAUCCUUUCUGCCAUUGGACUCGGGGUCACUGUACAGCCCUGGUGGAGAGAGGGUGAAGGCUUCCCUGGGAACAGCCCACUGAGCCCCAGAGGCCAGGGGACCAAAGAGGCGGCCGGGAGGACAACUCGGCCCAAGCGGGGAACAGGGGGGCGAAUCAGGCUCCUUGGUACCCAGGAUGACGUUAGUUUAUUUAAAUAGGAGGCCAUGGCCCGUCCAGGUUUAUUCUCCCUGGCUCUCAAGCAAUGGAAAAACAAUUUGUUUUAUAAUGCUAAUGUAAUACUCAACUCCUCAAAUAAAAGUGCCCUUCAUGAUAAUGGGCCCAGAUAUAAACAGAAGCGGCUGAGAGGGCCCAACCUGCUUCUUCCAGGCAGGCCUGUGACCGGGAGGGGGCUGAGUCCAAGCCCAGAGGAGAGAGACAGUUUGUUUAAAAUUUCUAUGGAGCUGGACUGUUUUAUAAAGGAAGGGGCUGAGUUAAGGCAUGCUUUGAAAGAAGACAAACAGACUUUGCAGGAGCUAGACCCUCAAAUGAGUUAUAUUUUAAACAAUUUACUGACUUUAUGAUCUUUAAGCAGAAGCAAAUAACACAUUCAGGUGCACAGCCGAUGCACCCCAACUUUCCAGUGCAAACAAGGCCGGGAGGAGUGGGAGGAGACCUGUCAGCAGGCAGGACAGGAAAAGCCCCUGGUGAAAAACUUCUCUGGUGGGUGAAGAUCAGUGAUGGCCCGAAAUCAUCUCGGUGUUCUGAAGCCUAGGAAAGCUGUUGGCCUGGCACCGGGGCCACUUCCUACAAGAACUGGCAGCCUCAGGCGGAAUGUUUGAGGGCAGCUGACCUGAACAGACUGAUCCGUCUGCCUGGAAGAUUCUUCUAACUCAGCUGGAGAAUGGCUGCUCAAUAAUGCAGGUAUUUUUCUGUAUUUACUUGUCACUUGCUACCCACGUGGAUGUUAAAGUGACCAGGAGCCACACCUGAGGCCUCUCGUGAAUGAACGGAGCUACUUCUGUGUCAGGUUUUGGGGUUCCACAGGCAUGAGCAGGCCAUGGGUCAGGCUGGUUCUGGCAUGGCUGUGGUCGGCCCACUUCCACAGACCACCACCGCAUGCUGUCCAUCUAUCCACCGGAGAUGGCCGCAGUGGGGACCAGGACAAGAGGACAAAUGAGGCCCUGUGUGUCUGAACACUGACCACUUGUAAAUCAGCUGCUAGAUACAAUGUGCUUAUACACAACAUGCUUAUCCUCCUGCCUUGGAAAAUACGUUUUCAAAUGAGAGAAAUCACAAAAUAUGUGCAAAGCAUGAUUUGCAUGGAAGUCAUCAACAUAUCAAAAGAGGACCAGAUUUAAUGAUUCUUAUGUACGUCUGGCAUUCUAUUCUGAGGGGGUAGCAAUGUUAGGAUUUGCAAAAAAAUACAGACAGAAUAAUUCAUAAAGUACAUAUUUAUCCUAUGAAAUAUUUUGCCUUUAAAAAAAUAGAAUCACUCCAUAUCCUGUAGCAAUCAAGAUUUUCACAUAAUUUGUGUUUUGACAAUAGUGGUUCAAAAAUUAAAAAGUGAUCCUUCUCAAAGCAUACAUUUAAAUAUAUCUUCAUCAAAAAUUGAUAGCAAAUCAAAUGUAAGAAAUAAAAAUAACUAAAUUAUUUGUGAUUUUCCAAAAAAAUUUUUCUUCUAGCAUAUUCAAAGCUUUCUAUUAAAAUUUAAAGACACAAUGCACACUAUAACUUAUCCAUAAAAAGUUUUCAUUAAAAAGUUUCAUUAUGAAGCUGAAUUGUUUUAAUUCUAAAAAUUUAAUCCCUGAGAUGAAAGAGGUCUCAGAAAUCGCAUCAGAAGGGGCCAGGGUAGUGGGAAGGGCAUACAUUUGGGAGAUCCCAGGUGUGAACUCAGGGCUGGAGUGCUUCACCAGGGCCCAGUGGAGGGCAAGGCUGCAGGCAUCCCUGCUGAACCUCAUCCUCCCACCUGCACACAUCACCUACCCGAGGGCUGUUGGGAAGAGUAAAUGCCAAGGUGUGACACAGGGGCUUGGGGGAAGACUGGGAUGUUGGUUUCAACUGCACUAGAUGUUAGGAACCCAUGGCGUGGGCUGAUAGGGUAAGAAGGUCAGUUCAGAUGGGAGGAGGCCAAGGAGCAUGGCAAGACCUCAGAGCUGCCCCACAGGGAAAAGGGCCACGUGGAGAAGGGCACAGAGUGGAAUUUUUUUCUUCCUUGAGGUUAAUAGUUCCAAUUUCUACUUCAUUUUAACCUCGGUGCAGCACAACUAGACUCAGAGGUAGCUUUUGCUACAGUCUGGGCUUCUGAGUUCUGAGUUCAAAUCUCAGACAAUUUACCAAGCUCCACUAGUUGCUGGUGAGCAUCUUAUCAGCAGUUCACCAGGAUCAUGGGGCCUGGCAUUCAGCUCAAUUCUCAGUUUCCUUCUAACUUCACACCCAGGAUGCCAGACUCUGCUUACAUCAUAUAGAAAAUAAAACAUAUUAGCAUGUGUUUAUACAUGUUGUAUGUUUGAUUUUUUAAAAAAUAUUUUGUUA